rnacentral:rRNA from 1 species
GGGCUCACACAAGCGGUGGAGGAUGUGGUUUAAUUCGAAGCAACGCGCAGAACCUUACCAGGUCUUGACAUGCUGGGAUUAAGUGAAUGAAAGUUUACGGAUUGCCCGCAAGGGUGUAACCAGCACAGGUGCUGCAUGGCUGUCGUCAGCUCGUGCCGUGAGGUGUCAGGUUAAGUCCUUUAACGAGCGAAACCCCUACGUCGAGUUGCCAGCGGGUAAAGCCGGGAACUCUCGACGGACUGCCGCGCAAGCUGGAGGAAGGAGGGGACGACGUCAAGUCAUCAUGGCCUUUAUGACCUGGGCCACACACGUCCUACAAUGGGUGGUACAACGGGAAGCAAAGCCGCAAGGCGGAGCCAAUCCUCGAAAGCCACCCUCAGUUCGGAUAGUGGGCUGCAAUUCGCCCACUUGAAGCUGGAAUCGCUAGUAAUCGCGGAUCAGCCACGCCGCGGUGAAUAUGUUCCUGAGCCUU